GUCUUUCGUUGCCGAUGUUCUCUGGUUCUGCGUUAAGGUCAUGGGUCCGGGUCCGGGUUUGGGUCCUAGCCUUAGUGUUCUUGUUUUGUGUUUAAUUUUCAUUUCUAUUCACUUUAUCUGCACUUGAAUCCAUCUUUGCCUCCAAACAAAGAGUUCAUCACUAGUAAGGUAUUGUGCAGCUCUCAAGGUUCAUGUGGAAAGUUAUUGUAUCCAGUCGCUACAGUGCCACUGAUUGAAUCGACCUCUUUGAAGGCUUUGCCAGAUAUUGCUUUUGAGUCAGAUUUCUCCAUUGGUUUUCACUUUUGGAUUAAGACUAUGACUCUUAUCUUAGUAAAUCCUCAACUGCUUAAAUGUCACCUUUCUUAAUUCCAGAUGUCAUCUUUAUAGUGAUCACUUGUCUUACAAUUACCUCUAAUGCUACCUGAGUACAAGCUUUUAUUACAUUCUCUCUCUCCCUGUAUUAUUUCUCAUUAUAUUCUUUGGUUAAUUAAUAAAUGUAACUGCAA